ACCCGCUGAACUUAAGCAUAUCAAUAAGCGGAGGAAAAGAAACCAACAGGGAUUGCCCUAGUAACGGCGAGUGAAGCGGCAACAGCUCAAAUUUGAAAUCUGGCUCUUUUAGAGUCCGAGUUGUAAUUUGCAGAGGGCGCUUUGGCUUUGGCAGCGGUCCAAGUUCCUUGGAACAGGACGUCACAGAGGGUGAGAAUCCCGUACGUGGUCGCUGGCUAUUGCCGUGUAAAGCCCCUUCGACGAGUCGAGUUGUUUGGGAAUGCAGCUCUAAAUGGGAGGUACAUUUCUUCUAAAGCGAAAUAUUGGCCAGAGACCGAUAGCGCACAAGUAGAGUGAUCGAAAGAUGAAAAGCACUUUGGAAAGAGAGUCAAACAGCACGUGAAAUUGUUGAAAGGGAAGCGCUUGCAGCCAGACUUGCUUACAGUUGCUCAUCCGGGCUUUUGCCCGGUGCACUCUUCUGUAGGCAGGCCAGCAUCAGUUUGGGCGGUAGGAUAAAGGUCUCUGUCACGUACCUCUCUUCGGGGAGGCCUUAUAGGGGAGACGACAUACUACCAGCCUGGACUGAGGUCCGCGCAUCUGCUAGGAUGCUGGCGUAAUGGCUGU
rnacentral:rRNA from 1 species